rfam:Trichobilharzia regenti genome assembly, scaffold: TRE_scaffold0020461
GUACUGGUGAAGAGUCUCAAACUAGGACGAAACAGCUGUCCAGUAC